rfam:Oryza nivara chromosome 1, whole genome shotgun sequence.
AAUAAGCGCAACCAUAAAUUUUCGCGUACAAUUUUGAUCGUCUGUCUUAUUUUAAAUUUACGAUUAGUAUUUUUAUUGAUAUUAUAUUAUAAAACAUGAACAAUACUUUAUACGUGACUUAUGUUUUUAGUUUUUUUCAAAAAAAUUUCAAAUAAGACGGACGAUUAAAGUUGAGCACGGAAACUCAUGAUUGCGCUUAUU